AAGACUAUAGACCUGCGGAGUACCUGCGGAAGGAUCAUUACAUGGCGGAGGAGGUGGGCACCUAGUAAAACAAAACCCUAGGUGUGUUGCCUACCACGCUUUCUACCCUUGUCUAUUUGCACCUUUUGUCGUUCCCUCGGUGGGUCUUGAACCUGCCGGCGGCAACUUUCAAAAACCUUUUGUAGUUAGUAUCUAAUUCUUCUGAUCAAAUAUUCAAUCGUUACAACUUUCAGCAAUGGA
rnacentral:misc_RNA from 1 species